UCUUGGUUGAUGGCGCCGUUCAGAAGGUGGAGUAAUAUGGACACGUCAAGGACUUCUGUCAGACGGUGGUUGCGGAUCGUACCUUUGACUAUUCGUCGGAGUUGGUGAAUGUUGGGUCGGCUACGGCCGCUAGUGGUGUUGCUGAAAAACGGGAUCGGAGUUUGGUCCAUGGAUGUUGGUCGAGCGUAGAUCCCGCGAGGUUUAAAGAACGAGCGAGGUACUACCAUAGUGAACAAUGGAGUGAUUAACGGAUCCAAAAAUUGUAAGGAGAUGUUAAACUCACAUUUUUCGGCAUUAACGGAGGGGGAUAAG
rnacentral:lncRNA from 1 species